rnacentral:tRNA from 1 species
GGGGAUUUAGCUCAGCGGCAUAAGCGCCUGCCUUGCAAGCAGGCAGUUGUGAGUUCGAUCCGCAGUACCGA